rnacentral:rRNA from 1 species
GGAGGAAAAGAAACCAACAGGGAUUGCCCCAGUAACGGCGAGUGAAGCGGCAACAGCUCAAAUUUGAAAUCUGGCCUCGGCCCGAGUUGUAAUUUGCAGAGGAUGCUUCGGGCGCGGUGCCUUCCGAGUUCCCUGGAACGGGACGCCAUAGAGGGUGAGAGCCCCGUAUGGUUGGACGCCUAGCCUGUGUGAAGCUCCUUCGACGAGUCGAGUAGUUUGGGAAUGCUGCUCAAAAUGGGAGGUAUAUCUCUUCUAAAGCUAAAUACCGGCCAGAGACCGAUAGCGCACAAGUAGAGUGAUCGAAAGAUGAAAAGCACCUUGAAAAGGGGGUUAAACAGCACGUGAAAUUGUUGAAAGGGAAGGGCCCAUGACCAGACUUGUGUCCGGCGGAUCACCCAGCGUUCUCGCUGGGGCACUCCGCCGGGUCCAGGCCAGCAUCGGUUCUCGCCGGGGGAUAAAGGCUCUGGGAACGUAGCUCCUCCGGGAGUGUUAUAGCCCUCUGCGUAAUACCCUGGCGGGGACCGAGGUACGCGCUCCGCAAGGAUGCUGGCGUAAUGGUCAUCAGCCACCCGUCUUGAA